GUGGGGAAUAUUGGACAAUGGGCGAAAGCCUGAUCCAGCAAUGCCGCGUGAGUGAUGAAGGCCUUAGGGUUGUAAAGCUCUUUUACCAGGGAUGAUAAUGACAGUACCUGGAGAAUAAGCUCCGGCUAACUCCGUGCCAGCAGCCGCGGUAAUACGGAGGGAGCUAGCGUUGUUCGGAAUUACUGGGCGUAAAGCGCACGUAGGCGGCUACUCAAGUCAGAGGUGAAAGCCCGGGGCUCAACCCCGGAACUGCCUUUGAAACUAGGUAGCUAGAAUCUUGGAGAGGUCAGUGGAAUUCCGAGUGUAGAGGUGAAAUUCGUAGAUAUUCGGAAGAACACCAGUGGCGAAGGCGACUGACUGGACAAGUAUUGACGCUGAGGUGCGAAAGCGUGGGGAGCAAACAGGAUUAGAAACCCCAGUAGUCC
rnacentral:rRNA from 1 species